CUUCUGGACUGCCUCUUCAGGAAAGUGUCCAGAGAGGGCAAGCUCAACUACCUACUGAAUCUCCAAACUAAGCACUGAAGAUAAUCCCUCCAGAUGAACCAUUUAUUGUGUGGUUAUGCCUGCUCUCUGAAGAGGUGUAAGGCCCCCUGGGUCCGCUCUGCCAUCUACAAUUGACAUGCAGGCUGGACAUACAGUGGGCCUCGAUUGCUUAGAAGCCAAACUGAACUCACCAAGAAAAGAAGACAGGAGAAACUUCUCAAGAGGAAUAUCUCCAAAUUGCAGGAUCGAAUACCAUAAGAGGAAUUCUGGACUGAAGAGUUAUGAAGUCAUUUCAGACACUUCCAGACAAUUUGUGUUAAUUAAAUUCUCACUGGUUGAGUUCCAUUCUACACUGGAAGAGCAUUUUUCCUGGAAAGGCUCCUCAAAAUGGUAAUAAAGGGUAAUUCUUUUAGAUGAUCUUGCAUUUGUUUGAAUGGGAACUGAGCUUAAUCAAACAUGUUAGGAAGACUAUGUCUGUUUCACUUUUUAAAAUUAUUUUGGAUGGACACAAUAAUUAUAUAUAUUUAUGGGGUACAGAGUGAUAUUUUGACACAUGUAUACAAUGUGUAAUGGUCAACUUAGGGUAUUUAGCAUAUUUCUCACCUCAAACAUUUAUUAUUAAUUUGUGUUGGGAAUGUUUAAAAUCCUUUCUAUUUGAAAUUAUGCAAUAAAAUAUUAUCUAUAGUCACCCAACAGUGCUGUAGAACACUAGAACUUUUU
ensembl:lncRNA DAB1-AS1 DAB1 antisense RNA 1